AUAUAUAUGUAAAGAAUUAUAUAUAUAUAUAUGUUAUAUAUAUUAUACUUUAUAUCAGUUUUACAAUAUUUUUAUGAAUUAAAUUUAUUAUAUUAGGAAAUAGAAUUUAAAAAGUCAAAUAAUGUUUUAUUUUAUUUACGGAUCAAAUCAGAUAUUCUUUAAAAUUCUAAAACAUUUCGGAUAUCCGAGUCACCAAAUAUCUAGGUGGCUAAAGAUCGAAUCGACACGAAUGCUUCCAAAUACCUAGAUAUUCGAUAUGUGACAACCCCUAUUUACGGAUACAAUUUUAUUUUCUUUAAAUGAAAAAAAAUGACUAAUGUCAAGGCCUUUUUUAUUUUAAAUUAAUUUUAUCUUUCAUGUAUUAUUUUGAACAAAAAUGUCAUUUAAUAUUAAUUAACAAUAUCUUUAUAUAUUUGUCAACUAUUUUUAUAUCAUUUUUACAUACACAUACAUGUGCACCAUGAUGUGAGCACCUUGUAACUAAGUAUUCAGCACAACUGAAGUAUCGAUUUUUUUUUAAAGUUGAAAUAUUUUUUCUUAAUGCCUCUUUCACUACCGACCAAAUUGUAGUGAAAUGAUAUGUCUUAAUAAUUUUCAAAUAGAUAUACACAUAAAUAUGUAAAAUAGUAUUGUACAAUUUACUGAAAUUAUCAAAUUAUGUACAAAUACUAUAUUACAUAUGUCUAAUAUUAGCAAAUAAUAUAUUGCCUAAAAUUUACAGUUGCCGACUGCCGGAACAUAAUGUAAUGAACAAACAUUACAAAGAAUGUAUGGGAUCCCAUCACAAUACUUCCUUGUAAUGCUUCAACAACUCCAAAUGGUCGUCCUCUAGGCAGUCUUGAUCAGCUCAAUCGAACAGAGGUUAAAGUAGUUAUUUACUCCUUUCGUUCCAGCUAGUUCAAAUCCAGUUUUGAACAAUCAACGUGGUGUUAGUGCAAAGAUGACACCACAAUUGAGUAAUGCAGAAGAUAAAUCAAGAGACAAAAUAGAUACAAGCAAUCAACUAUGCUUUAUUAGAAAUCGCCUAAACAAUCUAUUACAAGACUUGCUUAUCAGCUUUUACACGUCAGUAUUAACACCCUAACACACGUUACUGACAGAUUACUAAUCUACCCAAACAUGUCUCUUUCCCGUCAGUACUUCAGCAUCUGCUUCAGCACGACCCAAGAACACCCCUAAGGGAUUUUCACCCUUCCUCUAUAAUAAUAGCCAGUGUCUUAUGGAAUACAGACGACUCCAUAGCUCUUUUAUAGUGAUCUCCACGUUCCUGAAACCCUAGUCUCCAAGGCAACAUGAAUAUGGACAACUUCCAUAUCAAUAAGUACACUUUCCUUUUCUUGAAAUGUACUUAUUCCUCAAGGCAUAAACUUGCUCCCCAAGUUUAUCUCUUGCCUCUUUCUCCACGGUAUAAACUUGCUCCCACGCCUGCUCAGCAUCUUGCGUCCACAUGGUCUCUACCACUCCGCAUGCCUCCUGGUUCACUCUCUGACACACACUGCCUCAGAAACUACUUCAACGACUACGUCAGGACAUAAACCCUCAGUUUAUCCUUCUCCAUCUCAGCAUAUCAUGCAUCCACAUGGUAACCCACCACUCUGCAUGCCUUAUGUAGUAACGACUAAUGCAUCCAGCAUCAGUGACUUCGUCGUCUAGUUAGUCACGGAAGACCAUUGACAUCUACAAGCUCCACUUGCAUCUUCACGUGGCAUCCCUAAAUCUUUCAUUAAAAAUUUGAGAACCGAAAAGAAAGGUAAACAUGUUUACAUGACUAUCUAUCACUAUACCAUCGUCCAACAAUAUCUAGAAUAUGCUUAUAAGGGUACUAUAUUUCAUGUUUACAUAUAUUCAUGGAUGAUUUUAGUAAAUAUAUUGAAAGAAAUCUAUUCCAUUUAUAAAUUCACUCAUAUGGAACGACUUAUAAAUGGAAUAAAAUAUUAUUCAAUACAAACCGAGACAACACUAACUUCUGGUACAUCUAUCCAUGCAGGGGUUCCAUACCAUGCGAUCAGUACUGUACUAUUUUAUUAUAAUAUAUGUAGCCUAUUUCAGAUAAAAAUAGUCCAGAUCCACAUGUUUAUACAUCAAUUCACAUUUACAAGACUGUUCUAUUUACCAACUCACUCAGAUAGAAUGACUUAGAAACAGAAGAAACCAUACUAUACAGACAGAAAACUCCUAACUUAUGGUUACCAUAGGUUACUAAACAGAGUCUGACAUGAAAUGACAUAUGGAUGUUAUACUAUGUAAGUUUAAGUACUAUAGUAACUAGUAUACAAAGUAUAGUAACAAAUACUAUUCCGAAAUAGACAAAGCAAAAGGACAUUUGUGUUAUAAAAAACACUAGAUCAUUACUUGGAUUGCAAUUAUAAGGAUCUAAUUCGACAUACAACCGAGGACUUGUCAGAUGUGUACACUCGGUUCAAAUAGUUCCCACUUGAACAUAAUAGAAGAGAAAAUCUCUUCAAAUUGAGAGAAAUGAAGCAUAUAAUCAAAACUGUAGAUGAAAAAUUUUCUAGUAAAACGAAGAGGUUAGGGUGAUUGAGGAAGAGUUGAUGAACCUCGCCGCGGCACCGUUUACAUUGUCGGUGACUCCGUAGAUUUCAGAUGCAGCGAAGCUUCCCAUCAGUAACCAAGCAAGCCGUUGCAGACGGGCAUCUCCUAAGCAAAGCUACUCCGGAAAUGAUCUUGGUGGUCACAUAGUGGAUAAAUAAUGGGAGAGAAACCACUCACUUUCUACAAAGUUACCAACAAAAAUUACUUUCAUAAGUUAUGUGAAUCCCCAAAGGCCACGAUGUACUUGUGUCAGGUAAUUAUUAAUUUAGUUUAUUUUUUUGUUUGUAGAUUUCGCUGGUUGUGUGAAAGGCUAAAGUGACAAUAUUAUAUAAAGUACAUACAUUAUAUCGGUAUACUAGGGUAUUUGGACAUAGAAUGAAUUAUUAAUUGUUUGAUGGUCAUAUGGUGCAAUUUCCCUUCUUAUAUUAGCCCAUUUGAUUUUGAAGACGAGUCAAGUGAAGGCCAAAGGUUAAAGGCAAAAACAUGGCUUUAAAUAUUACAAGAUAUAACAAUUAGUAACAUUACUACAUGAUUACGCGAAAUGAGGAACACUCUGCUCCUUUUUAAAGAAUUUAUCAGGAUUAUACUUGGCUUUACUUGCAUCAACUUCUUCAAAGUCCCAAAAAUAUAUUUGGAUGAACCGUAGAUCUUAGCUUCAUCCACGUUUGUCUCGCCACUCGGAUUGUUUCCAGUGUCGAUGUCUCUGUAAUUUAUAAAUGAUUCUGUCUGGUUACUUGACACUUACGGUUCCGCAGCCUAUUAAAGCUCUUUAACAUUCAAACUUAAGUUAGUCUCUCUAUUUUUUGCUUGUGCCCAACGAUGUUUUUUCUGGCUAAAUAUCGCUUUAUACAUUCAUAUCUGCAGCUGAUGGGAAAUGUUCUCUGACCAGUGAUUUGAGCUUGAGUUUACUAUGGUUCAUGGUUGCUUGUUUGUAGAGGAAUUGACUGAUAAGUGCCAAGGUGGAGCUGAACCAAUCAAGAAGCAAUGAUGACGUCGAGGUGACAACUUUAGGCGGGAAAGUUUCUUGAGUCUUGAGUUUUUUUUUUUGGAUUGGAUGUGGUCACUGGGAAAGUCUCCAGCAGAUCGGUAAAAGCUGAAAUUUUUUGCGAGUUAGAACCGAGACUCGAUCGUGGUGAUGGCGUCGGCGGUACUGGUGACAGUGGGAGUAACAGUGGAAAUGUGAUUAUGUGGAUUUCUUUUUCUCGGAGACUAUGGCGAAGAACAAGAUCUUAAAGUUUCAUGUUAAGAUGUUCAUGUCCACAACUAAUCUAAUUACUAUUCGCGUUUUGGUGUACACGUCCACACUUAAUUUUGUUUAUACUUUUAAUAUAUAUAUAUAUGCAAAUAGAUCUUAAAAACAGAAAAUUUAAAAUAUAAUUUAUUAUGGUAAUUAUUUUUGUUUAAUUUCUUUUAGAAUUUGAGAUAAAAGUAAAUGAAAUCAUAAAAUAUAUAGAAUAAGAAAAAUAAAUAAAAUAAUCAAAAAGCCAACAUUUUCUUUCCCACAAAGACAUAGUUGUCCAAAAACUCUGUCUACCCCCACAAGAAAAUGACUCACAUGUGAAAAGUAUCUUUGAGUAUAAGGGAAAAUUAAAAUAUUUCCUAGCUAGUAAUCUAACUCACUUCAUUUUUUUUUUAAAAAGCAUCGUACAUGCUAUUGUAUUCAGUGUCCUUCCCAUGCGGUCCAAGAAAAAAGAUGAGCCUAAGAAGUAAGAAAGAGACCAAUAAACAACAAGAGAAAUGGUUGGAUCCAAGUGGCAAGAUAGGUGCCCAAUACUACGUCAAAUAGGAAGAUAUAACAGAAGGCUAAAUCUGCACGACCGUGAUUCGUGGAUUUUAGAAAAGAAGCCGGUCUAUAAAUUAUGGUCUAGAAAAGGAAGAUAUUUUAUUUUAUAACAUAAACAAAUAAAAUAUAAAUUAUGGUCUCCAAAAUUCUAGAAUAGUAUUAUAUGGCGCCAAAAUUGUUACAAAUAGAAGUUAAUCGAAAUUCUUAAUAAAUUAUUCUAUAACUUCCAAAAUUUCAUAUUCAAACCUGGAGAAGAUAUCCGUAGAAAGAGUCAAUCUUUGAUGCUAAAGUGACGGACGAGAACUGCGAUUUGAUGUUACAUGAUUGUGCUAAAUAAGUGUGUACAAAAUGCUUGCCAACGAAAGUGUAUCAUCGAUCAUGCAAUGAUGCGUACAUCUUAGCAACCCUUCACCCCAUUAAAACCCCCACAGCCACACCGAACAUGACCAGCAUUCCAACAAGCUAAGCGUACGUUCCCAGAGAGUGAUGGAAAAAUCUUAGAUAUGUAUAUUAUUGGAGACGGAUAUGUAUAGUAUUCAGUGCAUUUCCAACUCGGUCCAAGCAAAAAGAUGAUGUAUUGACAUGGCAGGAAAUAUACUGAUUCUAACAAGAUGUGAAUACUCAAAAAGAGCCUUUAAACAAAAAAAUAUAAAGUAAAAUGACAUGAAAAGCAACGUUGAGAUCCUAAUAAAUAAACCAAUAAACAAGCAAUAAUAGAAAUGGUUGGAGCCAAUCAGCCAAGUGGCAAGUUAGGUGUCCAAGACUACGUCAAAAAGGUAUGAGAGAUAACCGAAAGCAAAAUCUGGACGACCGUGAUUCGUGGAUUUUGAGCUAACCGUCAUGAACAUAAACAAGUGAAACAUUAAUCUAUGGCUUUUAAAUUUUAGAGUUAGUAUAUAUAUGGUGCCAAAAUUGUUAAAAACAAAAAUUUAUCAAUUUUUUUACUAAAUUAGUCUAUAACCUCUAAAAUUUUAUAGUCAGCCCUGGGAAAGAUAUCCGUAGAAAGACUAAAUUUUUGAUGCUAAAGUGACGGACGAGAAUUGGGAUUUGAUGUUACAUGAAUGUGCUAAAUAAUGAGUAUCAAAACGCUUGCCAACGAAAGUGAAUCAUCGAUCAUAACCCUUCACUCCGUUAAAAGAGUAGAAAGUAUAGGUUGAUCAACAUUGAAUAUUUAAAGAACAAAUGUAAACAUUUUUAUGAACAGAUAAAUCGAGAAAUACGUGUAGUUUAUCAUUAUUGAAAAGUGAAAACCCCAAUUUGAUAUGUGCUAAAUGGAGAAAUGGACGCGCUUAGAAUACAAAGCAAGUAGUAUCUCAUAUUAUGGAUUAUAGAAGAAAAAAAGCAAGUAAAGCUCUUUAUUGAUUUUUAACUUUAUAUAUAACAAAAUACUAAAGAAGUAAUUCCAAACCCUAAAAAGAGUUUUAUAACAAACCAAAAAGAGAAAAUAA